UACGUAGGCAGCGAGCGAUUGUUCGGAGUUACUGGGCGUAAAGGGUGUGUAGGCGGUUGUUUAAGUUUGGUGUGAAAUCUCCCGGCUCAACCGUGGGAGGGUCGCGGCCGAAUUACUGAAUUGACUUGGAGUGCGGGAGAGGAAGUGGAAUUCCGUGGUGUAGCGGUGAAAUGCGAUAGAUAUCAGGAGGAACGACCGGUGGUGUAGACGGCUUUCUCGGACCGUAACUGACGCUGAGACACGAAAGCGUGGGUAGCAAACAGG
rnacentral:rRNA from 1 species